rnacentral:lncRNA from 1 species
GAAGCCUAGGGGAGCCAGUAAAGAUUAAAUGUGCUUCUCAAAGGCAGCCACUUCAUGCUGCUAUGUCGAAAGGGCCAUUAUUAUUAUUAUAUUUUAAUAGUAAAAGAGAAAAGGAGAGAGGUUGAGCGAGCGAGAGAGAAGCUAGGUGUGAUGAUGACAGACUAGCUUUUCUGAGAGGAAAAGGAAAAGGGAAGGGAGAGAAAAAGGAGAGCCUCUGAGCUCAACGGAGGAUUGUGCCUGAGAAGAACCCACAGAGAUGUGACUGGAGUGAUUUGCACCUGGAUGCCUAGACUCGCCAUCUGCUGAAAGACUGCUCAGAAAGCCCUCCCAUGCAUUCCCCUGCUGCAUACCAGCCCACUCUGCCUGCAGCUGCUGUCUGCAGGACUUCAUAUCUAUGCCACACUGUGUAAAAGCUGUGCUUCAAGAAAUCACAAAAACGUUUUCCUGCACCUACUACACAGCCUGAGUGCGGCAUAAGUUGACCUUGCUUGCUAAGAAAUGGGGCAAGAAAUGCUUUUUUGUGUGUGUCAUGUCUGUUUGUUUUUCAAUUAAGAGAGGAAAGCAUUAGGCAGAUGGAAUGUACAUGUGAGGAUGAGGAGACAGAAAACAAGUAGCCCUUUCCAUCAAGAUAGAGGGUUUUCUGGGGUUGCUGGCUGUUGAAUGUCACUCCUGAUUUCUCUUUCCAAGGCACUGUACCACCAGCCUACUGAGAUUGUGUGGGAGCUUUCAUGGGGGUUGUAUUUCACUGAUGAAAAUAAAUUUUGUGCAUAAUGUG